AUUGAACGCUGGCGGCAGGCCUAACACAUGCAAGUCGAACGGUAACAGGAAGCAGCUUGCUGCUUCGCUGACGAGUGGCGGACGGGUGAGUAAUGUCUGGGAAGCUGCCUGAUGGAGGGGGAUAACUACUGGAAACGGUAGCUAAUACCGCAUAAUGUCGCAAGACCAAAGAGGGGGACCUUCGGGCCUCUUGCCAUCGGAUGUGCCCAGAUGGGAUUAGCUUGUUGGUGGGGUAACGGCUCACCAAGGCGACGAUCCCUAGCUGGUCUGAGAGGAUGACCAGCCACACUGGAACUGAGACACGGUCCAGACUCCUACGGGAGGCAGCAGUGGGGAAUAUUGCACAAUGGGCGCAAGCCUGAUGCAGCCGUGCCGCGUGUAUGAAGAAGGCCUUCGGGUUGUAAAGUACUUUCAGCGGGGAGGAAGGGAGUAAAGUUAAUACCUUUGCUCAUUGACGUUACCCGCAGAAGAAGCACCGGCUAACUCCGUG
rnacentral:rRNA from 1 species